rnacentral:rRNA from 1 species
GAGAUUAUCUCAUCACACCAGGUCGUACCCAUAACCGCAUCAGGUCUCCAAGGUUAGCAGCCUCUGGUCGAUAGAAUAACGUAGAUAAGGGAAUUCGGCAAAUUAGAUCCGUAACUUCGGGAAAAGGAUUGGCUCUGAGGGUUGAGUGUGGUGCCAAUGAAAUGGAACUAGGAUCUGUACUGGUGUUGGUCGCAAGAUCGAAACCGGCAUGGAGAGAAGGAAAAUUUUUGCGGCUAGCACAAUUAACAACCGACUCAGAACUGAAGCGGACAAGGGGAAUCCGACUGUUUAAUAAAAACAUAGCUUUGUGAUGGCCUCAAAAGGUGUUGACACAAAGUGAUUUCUGCCCAGUGCUUUGAAUGUGAAUAUGAAGUAAUUUAUAGAAGCUCAGGUAAACGGGCGGGAGUAACUAUGACUCUCUUAAGGUAGCCAAAUGCCUCGUCAUCUAAUUAGUGACGCGCAUGAAUGGAUUAAUGAGAUUCCCACUGUCCCUAUCUACCAUCUAGCGAACCCAUAGCCAAGGGAACGAGCUUGGAAUAAUCAGCGGGGAAAGAAGACCCUGUUGAGCUUGACUCUAGUCCGACUUUGUGAAAUGACUUUCGAGAUAUAGCCUAAGUGGGAGCUAACGCGCCGCUGUAAAACCACUGCUCGCUUAGCCAUUUUACUUACUCCAUGAAGAAGUGGCCGAUUUUUCGGUUCUUAGAUUUAAGCCCUGACUCGUAUCAGGGCAAGCUUUGUGGAGGACACAGUCAGGUGGGGAGUUUGACUGGGGCGGUACAUCUGUUAAAACGUAACGCAGGUGUCCUACAGUGAGCUCAAAGAGAACAGAAAUCUCUUGUAGACCAAAAGGGGAAAAGCUCACUUGAUUUUGAUUUUCAGUACUAAUACAAACCGCGAAAGCGUGGCCUAUCGAUCCUUUAACUUUACAAGUUUUAAGCUAGAGGUGUCAGAAAAGUUACCACAGGGAUAACUGGCUUGUGGCAGCCAAGCGCCCAUAGCGACGUUGCUUUUUGAUCCUUCGAUGUAGGCUCUUCCUAUCAUUGUGAUGUACAAGUCACAACGUGUUGGACUGUUCACCCGUUAAUAGGGAACGUGAGCUGGGUUUAGACCGUCGUGAGACAGGUUAGUUUUACCCUACUGAUGAAUCGAUGUUGCGACAGUAAUCUUACUUAGUACGAGAGGAACCGUUAGAUCAGAUAAUUGGUUAAUACGGUUAGCUGAAAAGCUAAUGCCGUGAAGCUACCAUCUGUUGGAUUAUGACUGAAAGCCUCUAAGUCAGAAACCAUGCUGGAAAGCAACGUCCAAUCAAUAAUAAAUGAAAAAGAAUAAGGGAAACCUUUAGUUCAGUAUGGGGACGGUCAAACUCGAAAGAGUAUAGCCAAACCCAGAAUAAAUUUUAAUUAUUAUUGU